rnacentral:tRNA from 2 species
GCCCAGGUAGCUCAGGGGUAGAGCAGGGGACUGAAAAUCCCCGUGUCGGUGGUUCGAUUCCGCCCCUGGGCACCA